GUUGCCUUGGUGCAAUUGGUUAGCCCAUGCAGUUGUUAGACAUGUACAGCAAACUGCAAGGUUGGUGGGUCAAGUCCUCCGAGUAGUG